rnacentral:rRNA from 1 species
AGGAGUUUAUCGUGUACGCAAGUCAUUGGGUAAUUAAAAACUCAAAGGCGAAAUAAAAGUAAAGAGUUGAGUUUAUGAUAAAGAAUUUAUUUCUUUUUCAUUUCUCUCUUAAGGGAAGAUGAAAAUUUAAUUAAUAAUAUAUUUUUAAUAUUUUAUUAAUAUAAAUUUUUCGCACUCCCAGGGCGCUUGUUUCACGCUUUGCGUGUCAAUGCGCACCUAGAGCGUACACGCUGAUACCCGAAAGAUGGUGAACUAUGCCUGGCCAGGACGAAGCCAGGGGAAACCCUGGUGGAGGUCCGCAGCGAUUCUGACGUGCAAAUCGAUCGUCGGAGCUGGGUAUAGGGGCGAAAGACCAAUCGAACCAUCUAGUAGCUGGUUCCCUCUGAAGUUUCCCUCAGGAUAGCUUGCGCUCGGUUGAGAAGAGUCUCAUCCGGUAGAGCGAAUGAUUAGAGGCAUUGGGGUCGAAACGACCUCAACCUAUUCUCAAACUCCAAAUAGAUGAGAACCCCUGGCUUUCUUAAAAUUGAAGCCGUGGGAAUAGGAUCAGAGUGCCAAGUGGGCCAAUUUUGGUAAG